rnacentral:rRNA from 1 species
UACGAGGGGGGCAAGCGUUGUUCGGAUUUAUUGGGCGUAAAGGGUGUGUAGGCGGCGCCGUAAGUCAGGUGUGAAAUCUCGGGGCUUAACUCCGAAACUGCAUUUGAUACUGCGGUGCUUGAGGACUGGAGAGGAGACUGGAAUUUACGGUGUAGAGGUGAAAUGCGUAGAUAUCGUAAGGAAGACCAGUGGCGAAGGCGGGUCUCUGGACAGUUCCUGACGCUGAGACACGAAGGCCAGGGGAGCAAGCGGG